rnacentral:rRNA from 1 species
CCUACGGGAGGCAGCAGUGAGGAAUAUUGGUCAAUGGGCGGGAGCCUGAACCAGCCAAGUCGCGUGAGGGAAGAAGGUCCUGCGUAUUGUAAACCUCUUUUGCAAGGGGACAAAGGCCUCCACGUGUGGCCGUCUGCGUGUACCUUGCGAAAAAGCAUCGGCUAACUCCGUGCCAGCAGCCGCGGUAAUACGGAGGAUGCGAGCGUUAUCCGGAUUUAUUGGGUUUAAAGGGUGCGCAGGCGGCGGUUCAAGUCAGCGGUAAAAUGGCGGGGCUCAACCCCGGCCGGCAGUUGAAACUGGCGGGCUCGAGUGGGAGAGAGGUAGGCGGAAUUCGUGGUGUAGCGGUGAAAUGCAUAGAUAUAACGAAGAACCCCGAUUGCGAAGGCAGCAUACCGGGUCGAGACUGACGCUGAGGCACGAAAGCGUGGGUAUCAAACAGGAUUAGAUACCCCUGUAGUC